rnacentral:lncRNA from 1 species
ACCCACCUGUCCAGGGCGGCCUCUGCCUCUUCAUGCUGCCCCUUGUCCGCCAGGCAGGUCCAUAUCCUGGAGCUGCCCACCCCUCCCCAGGCUCAGGCUAGACUCUGCUGCAGACUUUGGGACCAGGAAGGGGAGGGGCCGGUCUCAAUGCAAAGGCUGACCUAAGACAGCUGCCCCGGAAGGACCUGCAGCAACAGGUGGGUCGGGGACUGGGAGCUGAGAUGCAUGAGUGAGGGAGGGGGUCUUUAAGGGCCCCCAGGUUGGGUGGCCACAGGCUCUGUGAGGGCAGCUUUCUCACUGCCAUUCUUUGAGAUCAAUAUAGAUUGAAAACAGUUUGCAUGAGAACUCACUGGGUCUUGGGGGGAUGGCAAGGGGGCUGUGUGGCUGAGUUAAAGCACGAGACGUGAAACGCCAGCAUCACCCACUCUCUCUCCAAACAGAUGGUG